rnacentral:rRNA from 1 species
AAGCGAAAACUGCAAGUCGAACGAGAGACCUUCGGGUCUCUAGUGGCGAACGGGUGAGUAACACGCAGGGAACCUGCCCGCGCACCGGGAAUACGCUCUGGAAACGGAGAACAAAUCCCGAUGUACAGGAAGGAGGCAUCUUCUUUCUGUGAAACAUCCUUUCGGGGAUGGGGCGCGGAUGGACCUGCGGUGCAUUAGUUGGUUGGCGGGGUAAAGGCCCACCAAGACGAUGAUGCAUAGCCGGCCUGAGAGGGCGGACGGCCACAUUGGGACUGAGACACGGCCCAGACUCCUGCGGGAGGCAGCAGUAGGGAAUUUUCGUCAAUGGGCGCAAGCCUGAACGAGCGAUGCCGCGUGAGUGAAGAAGGCCUUCGGGUCGUAAAGCUCUGUUGCGGGGGAAAAAAGGCAGCAUCAGGAAAUGGGUGCUGACUGAUGGUGCCCCGCCAGAAAGUCACGGCUAACUACGUGCCAGCAGCCGCGGUAAUACGUAGGUGGCGAGCGUUAUCCGGAAUGAUUGGGCGUAAAGGGUGCGCAGGCGGUCCUGCAAGUCUGGAGUGAAACGCAUGAGCUCAACUCAUGCAUGGCUUUGGAAACUGGAGGACUGGAGAGCAGGAGAGGGCGGUGGAACUCCAUGUGUAGCGGUAAAAUGCGUAGAUAUAUGGAAGAACACCAGUGGCGAAGGCGGCCGCCUGGCCUGUUGCUGACGCUGAGGCACGAAAGCGUGGGGAGCAAAUAGGAUUAGAUACCCUA